CAGAGAGCUGGUAGUCCCAUCCACCACACUACCAGGUGGGUGGUAUAGAGGAGACGGACGCACUGGUUGUCCUCUAGGUUACAGAGAGCUGGUAGUCCCAUCCACCACACUACCAGGUGGGUGGUAUAGAGGAGACGGACCCACUGGUUGUCCUCUAGGUUACAGAGAGCUGGUAGUCCCAUCCACCACACUACCAGGUGGGUGGUAUAGAGGAGAUGGACCCACUGGUUGCCCUCUAGGUUACAGAGAGCUGGUAGUCCCAUCCACCACACUACCAGGUGGGUGGUAUAGAGGAGACGGACCCACUGGUUGUCCUCUAGGUUACAGAGAGCUGGUAGUCCCAUCCACCACACUACCAGGUGGGUGGUAUAGAGGAGACG